UAGGGAAUCUUCCACAAUGGGCGAAAGCCUGAUGGAGCAACGCCGCGUGUGUGAUGAAGGCUUUCGGGUCGUAAAGCACUGUUGUAUGGGAAGAACAGCUAGAAUAGGAAAUGAUUUUAGUUUAACGGUACCAUACCAGAAAGGGACGGCUAAAUACGUGCCAG
rnacentral:rRNA from 1 species